AUGAAUAUCUUGGCCUGGAACUGUCGAGGACUGGGGUUAGACUCGACAGUUGGCGAACUGAGGGACCUGAUACGGUCAUACAACCCAGCGGUGGUAUUCUUGAGUGAAACAAAAAAGAGGGCGGGAGCGAUGCAGAGAAUAAUAUGGAGGUUGGGGUUUCGGAAUGGAGUGGCGGUGGAUUGUGUGGGCCUUAGUGGCGGACUAGCGCUAUGGUGGAGAGAUCAUUUACAGGUUACAGUUAGCCCGUGGUGUCAGUACUUCAUCGAUGCGGAGAUACAGCUAGAGGGCAAGACCUGUAGAUUCACUGGUUUCUACGGGGAACCCCGGACGGAGGUGAGGAAGAAAUCUUGGGAUGCAAUCCGGUUUCUUAGAGCCCAAGAUAACUUGUCGUGGCUUUGCGCGGGCGAUUUUAAUGAAGCAAUGUUUCAGUCGGACCAAUUUGGAGGGAACACCCGGAGUUUUAAUCAAAUGGAGGAUUUCAGGGUUUGUUUAGCAGAUUGUGGCUUGGUGGAUCUAGGAUACACUGGGUAUCUGUACACUUGA
rnacentral:rRNA from 1 species